rnacentral:misc_RNA from 1 species
GAUGAAGAACGCAGCGAAAUGCGAUAAGUAGUGUGAAUUGCAGAAUUCAGUGAAUCAUCGAAUCUUUGAACGCACAUUGCGCCCCUUGGUAUUCCAUGGGGCAUGCCUGUUCGAGCGUCAUUUGCACCUUCAAGCUUUGCUUGGUGUUGGGUGUUUGUCUCGCCUUUGCGUGUAGACUCGCCUUAAAAUAAUUGGCAGCCGGCGUAUUGAUUUCGGAGCGCAGUACAUCUCGCGCUUUGCACUCAUAACGACAGCGUCCAAAAGUACAUUUUACACUCUUGACCUCGGAUCAGGUAGGGAUACCCGCUGAACUUAAGCAUAUCAAUAAGCGGAGGA